UACGGAGGGUGCGAGCGUUGUCCGGAAUCACUGGGCGUAAAGAGCUCGUAGGCGGCCUGUUGCGUCCGCUGUGAAAUCCCGGGGCUCAACCCCGGGCGUGCAGUGGAUACGGGCUGGCUGGAGGCAGGCAGGGGGAGAACGGAAUUCCUGGUGUAGCGGUGAAAUGCGCAGAUAUCAGGAGGAGCACCGGUGGCGAAGGCGGGUCUCUGGGCAGUAACUGACGCUGAGGAGCGAAAGCGUGGGGGAGCGAACAGG
rnacentral:rRNA from 1 species